rnacentral:lncRNA from 1 species
UGAGCCUGAUGUCUACACUGCCCAAGCUGCAUGCUUCGUGCAUCGGCCGGACCAGGCCCUGUCCUGUGGCGGAAUGCAUUCGGGCUGCGUGGGUUUAGGAUACAGGGGCCCUAACAACAAAACAGGCAUGGAAGGAAAGCAUGAAGAAAAACUUUAGAUUGAUAAAGAAGAUAAGAGAAAUGAAUUAGACUGACAAAGAAAUUCUAAAAUGUAAGCCAUAUGGAAAGUGUGUCUUACAUAAAACUCAGUCAUAGUGACUCUUCUUGCACAAGAGUGGCAUAUUGCAACUGUUGCUGCAGCCAAGAUGAUCACGUGACCGAGUAGUCCAGGGCAAUGUGACCUAAAAGAAGAGCAGCUGUGAGGAUUGCCCCAGCUCUGCUCUCCCAGUUAAAGGGACAACAGCAGGCAUUGCUGCUUCCCUGCUUCCCGUUCCAGCUGAUGUCCGGAUUCCAUCAGGUCCCCACCUAUGUAAGCCACUACCAUGUGACAGGAUUCUGUCACUCUCCAGCCAAGGCACAUCUGCUUGGACUAUAAUUGUAGGCACGUUUCUUGCUGCUAGAAUGAUUCAACCACUUGGAAAAAUAAACAAGCCCAUAGAAGAGAAGGACUUUGGAAAUCAGCUUCGCCAGCCUAGCAGGCUGACGGCUGGCAGUGGAAGGGGUGGGCUCAGUGUCUUUCAGAAGCUACCCUAGGCCAUAGGGGCUGAAUAUCCCUGACUCACUUGGAACACAUGCAUCACACUGCAAGGCCCGCACUUUCACUGAAACUUGCUUCAUCACUAAAUGGAUAAAUAGAUUAAGUUCCAAAUAAAGCCAAAGGAGGGUUUUCCCGUAUUAGGUCUGAUGUUGGCUGAAACCCUGUAACUGUCUGCACCACACCAUUCCUUUGGAUUGACGCAUCCAUCGAGUAUCAUUGCUGGUUUAAAGAAUCGCAUUACCAAAUCUAAACAGUUCUGAGCAUCAAGUAAUGACUAUUCCGACGCCUAGAAAAUUCAAGAGCCUCCAAAAAAGCUGCAUCAUGAAAACUGGGCCCAGACCAGAGCUCCAAACCACUUACCCGGCUUCAAACGAUACUUUUUUUUUUUUUUUGCAAGUUUUGAGGUGCACAGAAGAGUGGCUGAUGGUAGUGUAAACUUCUGCUGCUUGGGCGUUAAAGCAAGCUUGGCUUCAGUUUAAGGAAGGACAGAGCAGGCAGCAGGCCCUCCAGGAUACAGUGUGUCUUUGGAGCCUCAGGGAAGGCUCACAUUGUAGAGCUUGUCACAGAAGAAAUAGAACUCUUAAAGACACCCGGGGCCCAGGAAAGGAUGAGGAGACUCAGAAAAAAAAAAAAUGACCAGGGCUUCUCCUUGGUCCUCCAUGAGACAUGCAUACUCAGGUAAGGAACAGAGGUAGAGUUCUAAAAAUGCUCACUUUUGAAUUCUGGGCAAUGGAUUAAUUCAACAUUCCCUCGUUCACAACCCAUCAGCAAUCUGUUUUGUACCAGACAUCUCACCAAGUAUUGCUGGCAGAAAAAACCGAUAAUGUCAGGCAUGGAUAUGGUCCUGGCAAGGGAAGAGACUAGUGGAUCUUGACACAGAGUGGGAAGAGGGACAAGAGAAAAUAAGAAAGAAAAUAAGGACUGAAGAUUCCACGUCACAGCACAGUGAGGAGACCAGCCACAUGAUGGUCAGGUCACUGAACUAGAUCUUACCAGGCUGGAGGGUCACUGACGGUGGCACCUACCCUGAUAAAUAGCAGGUUCAGGAAUGGAGCUGCAGGGCUUUGCUUACUGGUCCUAAGAACGAAAUCAGAAUCAUUUCUCUGGCCCUGGAUAGAGACACGACAUUCUAACCACAACAUUUCUAGAUCACACGGUUACUAUCUAGCUUUCUGAUAGAGAACAGUUGCAUUAUUAUUUUCUCCUCUAUUAAGAGAUAAUCCAACUUGGGCAUUAUGGCAUAUUAUGUAAUCUCAGCCUUCAGGAGGCAGAGGCAGAAGGAUUGGAAACUCAAAGUCACCCUUAGCUACAUAGUGGGCUCGGGACUUCCUGGGCUGCCUAACCCCUAUCUCAGAAUAGAUAGAUAGAUAGAUAGAUAGAUAGAUAGAUAGAUAGAUAGAUAGAUAGAUAGAUAGAUAGAAAGAAAGAAAGAAUAUGGUGGAGUUUGCAUCUCUUUUACCUUGUUAGAUUACUUAAGAGCCAACGGACGGGUAGGGCUACACAUGUGCGCAAUCUCGAAGGAGGACAGGCAGUGGCCUGGGAGCCUCGAUGUUCUCAGGGAGAGAGGGAGGAAAGAAGGAAGGAACGAACGAUCGAACGAACGAAGGAAGUCAGUUCAUACAGACAGGCCCGUCAAUGUCCUGGACGUGAAAAACCCUUUGGUAAGAUAUUUGCUCCUGAAACUUCCAGACUGGAGAACUAUCUAAACAGUUAGGUCAGCAUAGAGUUAAUGUGGCUCUCGUCUGCUCCAUGAAACCAAAGUAUUUUCCUGUUUGAUCAUCUCUCUGGCCUUGUCUGCGCUAACCCCAGGAGAGCCUUGCCUUCCUCUGAGCCAUCUCUGGUCACUGUGCUCUGACAGCACCUCCUGUAAUCUCUUCUGCUCACCUUCUACACAACACACUUCGUCUCACCUAAAUUCAGACGAAGACCGUCACAGAGCUGAGAAUCUUAGGUAGAGGCCCGCACACUUACCCAUGGUGAAAACUACCUCCCCUGGAAAGGAGCACAGAGAAUCCCUGACCAGGAACCAAAUGAGCACGGCACACCCAGAGGGAAGUCAGAGCCAGAGAACUGUACCAAGGCCAGUCUGGACCGGGGAGGUGCAGAGGAGGAGUAGAAAGUCAGAACCAGAUGAAUAAGCCACAGUAAGAAGUUUGAAAUCUUAAAAAUGGUCACACGUGCCAUGAAUAGUAUGGUGGAGUUUGCAUCUCUUUUACCUUGUUAGAUUACUUAAGAGCCAACGGACGGGUAGGGCUACACAUGUGCGCAAUCUCGAAGGAGGACGGGCAGUGGCUUGGGAGCCUCGAUGUUCCCAGGAUCAUGCCUGGGGCAAGCUGGCAGUGCAGGAGUUCGUGGGCAGUAGGUUUAUUUUGUAAGCUCCCUUUAUCCAGCACUUGCUACAUGCCAAGCACAGUUGUAGACACACUAUAGGCACUAUCUCAGGCUGGCCUCUCAGCCAUGGACCAAGAGGGAAAACAGUUCAUGCCAGAAAGCAUGAGAGUAGGACUUUCCCACAGAGAAGCUCUUAGAUCCAGGGAUUGUUGAAACAGCCAAAGGCUUAUGAGGCAACCAGAGAUUAGCAAGAACACAAGCUAUGCUCCCAAGGUCUGGACAGACAGAGUCAACUGUGACAAAGGAAGCAAGCUGCCAAGAGGAACCUAAACUACAGAGCCACCACCCAACAAGGGGAGCGGAGCCUGCCUUGCCUUUCUCAACACUCUAAACACCGUCCAGCCUUCCUAUGAGCCAAAAACAAGCUGCUGCGGAGCCUGACCCAUCAUUUCCCCAAUAUACAGUGGACAGCAGGGAAGGAGGCAGAAAAGAUCUGAUCCCAAAUAUGGAAAUGAGGGGACCCAUCCUUCCCACAGCCCCACAAGAUAGGAACUCCUUAUAACUCCAGAUGGGAACACUGAGGCACAGAGUGACAUUCAGGUGAGUGUAGUUAAGUGGCACGAUCCUCGUGUGACUCCGGAACACAUGCCCCUAAGUCUUGCAUAGCCUGGUAGCAAGGGCUGGGAUGCCAUGUCCUUAGCCUGAGAAAACAGAUCCUUUUAUGAAGGCCUCCACCUGAAAGGCACAGAGCACUGUCACUCAGAUGAAGUUAACUGAAGAACUGAAUGGUUCACUGGGAGAUGAGAGCUCCCCACCCCCAACACACAUAUACACUCACACAUGCACACACAUGCAAACACACAUGCAUACAUACACUCACACACAUGCACACUCAAAGCCACAUAUACACACACUCAAGCACACACACAAUUUUAGACACAUGCAUGUUGUGGAUAGCCCUGGUUCUGUUUAUAUGUGGAUGCUAACUCAGCUUCUCCAAGAGGAGCUGCCUGGAAUGAGGAGGGAGGACUCCAUGUGACCCUUCUAAUGAAUAAAGGAACCAAUCACUGGGCAAGUAGGUGGGACUUCGAGAUCUGACAGAGGACAGUGGAAGAAGCGGGAGAGAGAGGGGUUUUUGGAUGGGGACAGCAGGAGCGCAAAAUGUAACUACAAGAGGCCCCCAGAUUAGAUGGUGAAUCCUGGUAGAUUCACCACCAGGGAAUUUAUAUUUAAUAUGGCUUACAAGAUUAGGAUUCUAAUUGUUGCACCCAAAGAUUGAAUUACCAUUGAUUCUGAACUAAGUUUGUGUGAUAUUCUCCUUCACCCAGUGGCUCGACUGGGUUCCAGAGAGAAAGAUACAGCAGCAAAGUGUGGGUUUGCAGGAGGUGCACCCCAAAAGGCCGUGGGAAUUUUGAAGCAUGGGGUUGGGGUGGUAGCGACCCACCAGUGGGAACUUGGGGAGCUGGGUAGAAAGAUUUUGGAGCUCUGAGUCAGAGAAGCUCCACAAGAUGAGAACAGGCCAGCCAUGCCCACCAGUGCCUG